AUAUCUAUGGUCUGUGCCUGUCACUCCAGAGACAUAAAGAUGGCUUCUCAGGGGCUUCUGCUGUGUGUCCUACUGAUCUCUAUCCAUGGAUCCCGUGGAGAGAUUGUACUGACCCAAUCUCCAGAUUAUACCUCUGUGUCCCCAGGAGAUACAGUAGACAUCUCAUGUACAACCAGUCAAGGUGUAGGCAAUGCUAUAGCCUGGUACCAACAGAAACCAGGAGAACGGCCAAGUCUUCUUAUCUAUAGUGCAAGCAACCGACAUACCGGAGUCCCAGACCGGUUCACUGGAUCUGGAUCUGGAUCUAAUUACAAAUUAACAAUCAGAGGAGUGACAGAAGACGAUGCAGGACAUUAUCACUGUCAGCAGGGUUAUAGCGAUGAGCGCUUC